AAUCAACGCUGGCGGCGCGCCUAACACAUGCAAGUCGAACGAGAAAGUGGAGCAAUCCAUGAGUACAGUGGCGUACGGGUGAGUAACACGUGGGUAAUCUACCUCUUAGUGGGGAAUAACCCUGGGAAACCGGGGAGUAAUACCGCAUAAGCUCGAGAGAGGAAAGACAGCAAUGCGCUGAGAGAGGAGCCCGCGGCCGAUUAGCUAGUUGGCAGGGUAAAGCCUACCAAGGCAGAGAUCGGUAGCCGGCCUGAGAGGGCACACGGCCACACUGGCACUGAAACACGGGCCAGACUCCUACGGGAGGCAGCAGUGGGGAAGUCUUGCGCAAUGGGCGAAAGCCUGACGCAGCGACGCCGCGUGAGGGAAGAAGGC
rnacentral:rRNA from 1 species